CUUUUCUUUAUGCAAAUUAGUUUGUGUUAUUAUGGCAGAAAGCUCUGCGCUAGUAAACCUCUGCCGAAGGCUUCAAAUUUCCAGUUGGAACUGAUGGGAAAAUUGAGGCGGAAGAUAAUAUAUGUCCACAUUGUGAGCUAGCUGCUCUCUUCCAGCCAUGUAUCAAGCUCUCUGGAUUUGGUUCCCAACACAUGAUUUUGGUUCAUAGUUCAGCACUGAGGCAGGCAAAAGAAAUCAAGAAUGUAUUGAUGUAUUUAGCUCACCAAGGUCAGCUGUGCCUUGGAUUUCUUUGAAACAGACUUGGGUAGACUUUAACUAGUAAGGGAUGGAGAGAUAAGAGGACAGAGGAGUAUGACUGCUGGCAAAUUAAAUUUUCAGAAUUUACUGGUCAAAAAGUCAAAGUUUUUAAAAAUUUAUUUACAGGUUUUCAAAUUAUUCCCAGCGCAGGUGAAGAUCUCAGCAUGGCAAACAUAAACCUAUUAAGUGAAAUGCCGUCAGUUCCAGCUGUCCUGUGAAGACCCCUUCAAAGUUUAAUCCACAGGUCUUGUAGCCUGUCAGAAAAACCCCUCAGUUAAUAACUUGGAGUCUCUGAAGCCCGUGGAUGAACCACAAGAUGUCGAUAAGGCCCCAGGGGGACAGCUGGACUACUUUAUCAGGAUGGAGAGUGGAAGAUAUCUGACCAUGCUGAGCUCUUGUGUGAAUGCGUGUGUACUGCUUGAACAGACAGUCAUUCAUCUGUGUCAGUCUACAACCUGACAAGAGGACUCCUGAAAAUGAGAGUCACAGAGCAGGGGGAAGAGAAGACUUGGGGCCAGGAGAUGACACCACUCCAGCGUACUGGUACUCCAAUAUAAUCAAGGCUGUGCAGCUGGAUUGCUGGUGAUUCCAUAAGAGGCCUCUUAAGCUAAAACAUAUAGAAUAUACAAGAAAGUCGAAAUGAUGGAAUCAAUUUUGCUUUCUAAGUACCUUUAUCCCACUUUCUUUAUGGAGUUAAAUGAUCUGCAGUGAAUGAACCCGCAAAAACCUCCCAGAUUUGCUCCCCAUCACUUUCUUCAUGGAAGAGGCUUUGCUACCCUGUGUUGAUUGGGUUGGAGCAGCAUGAACUAGACCUGGCAUACACACGGUGUUGUGGCAGUGGUUGUUGCAGCAGCUGUGGUGUGGCAAGGCACAAUGAUGGUGAGUCCAAGAAUUUGUCUUGAUGGACCUGGGUGAUGAGCACCACCAUGAAGAAAAGACUUCUGUCACAGCAAGCAAAGGCCAGAUCCCCAGGAAAGUAUCUGUCUUCCUACUAAAGUACCAGGAUGGUGAAAAAGGCUCUCAUGGCUGAUGGGCAGCUGUGUCUGAGAUGGCUUCCCCUGCUUGUCUUUCCCUGUGUUUCCUACUUUGUACUGCUCUCCUUUACCUCCUCCCUAGUGCUGUCGUGGAGAGAUCACCAAUAUGUGAUCAACAGACCAAAAAGGUUGAUCAUUAGGAAGAUAAGACCUCCCUAGCACAUCGCCAGUUGUUUUAAGAUGUUUCUGAUUAAUGAUUCUAUUUUAGCCAUUUCAGUGCUCAGCAAUCUUUAUUUUUCGGUGUUGAUAGUGGAAGUCCAUGCCUUUCCUGAAUCGGAGUUAUUUUGACCAAUAAUCCAAAUGUGGGUCAAUUCAAAUCAAUAGAAAUGUCAUUAGCAUCCCAGUACUGUGAAGAUAAUAUGAACAUUUCUCAUGCAUUCAGUUUAUUAAAAUUUACUAAAGUGUGAAAUAUGUAUGACAAGUAAUGAUGUUUUAAUCUUUCACCAAGGUAACAAUUGAAAGCUGAUUGAUUCCAUUCAGUAAUUAUAAAAUCAAAAUGAUGGAAGAUUGUAAUCAAAAAGGAUUCUGUCUCAUACUUUGUCAUGCCUCCAUGCAAGAUAAAAUUCUUAUUUGUAACAUCUCUUAUAUCCAAAAAGUAAUCAAACUCCUAUUUGGCCAGUUUAAAUCUCAUGGCUGGUUGGACAGCAAACUUUCUUUUAAACUCUGAUGAGGAGAAAAAAGUAGCCUGCAUCCACCAAAGCUGCCGGUUUUCCAGGAGAAUGGCAUAGGAGACAGUAUCAAAGGCUUUACUAAAGUCCAGGUAGACAAUACCUACAGCCUUUCCCUCAUCCACCAGGCAGGUUAUCUGGUUAUAAAUGGAGAUCAGGUUGGUCAGACAGGACCUGCCUUUCACAGCCCCCUGCUGGCUAGGCCUGAUCCUUUGGUUGUCCUAUAUGUGCAGUGUGAUCACCUACAAGAGGAUCUUUAUUCCAUAACCUUCUCCAGCAGCAGGGUCAGGCUGACACUGUAAUUCCCCAGAUCUUCCUUCUGGCCCUUUUUGUGGAUAGGCAUCACACCGUCCAGCUUUCAGUCAUCUGGGACCUCCCUGGUUAUCUAGGACUGAUAAAUGGUGGAAAGCAGCUUGGUGAGGUCUUUUGCCACCUCCCUCAGUAUCCUUAGAUGAAUCUUAUCUGCUGCCAUACACUUAUGAAUGUCUGACUAGCUCAGCAGGUCACUAACUACUUAUUCCUGGAUUUCAAGUGGUCUUUUCUGCUCCCUCUCCCUGUCUACCAGCAGCCAGGGACUGGUUGCCCUGAGGAUAUCCAGUCUUUCUGUAAAAGACUGAGGCCAAGAAGGCAUCAAGUAUCUCAGCCUUUUCCUCAUCCUUGGUGAAAAUGUUCCCCUCCCCAUCUUAAAAAGGAUAGAGAUCUUCCUUGUACCUCCUUUUGUUUGGAGGACUUAGAAAAACAUUUUACUAUGCUUCAAAGCAGUGACCAGAUUAAGUUCUAGCUGAGCUUUCACCUUUCUGAAUUCUGUCUACAUGAUCCAACAACACCCUUGUAUUCUUCCAGAGUUGUCUUCACCUUCUUCCAAAGGUCAAAAGUUCUCUUUAUUUCCCUGACUUCCCCUGCAAAAGCUCCCUUUUCAGCUAGGCCAGUCUUCUUCCCAACUAGCUUGUCUUUUGGUACAUAGCGAUGGCCUGCUCCUGCACCUUUAAGGUUUCCUCCUAAAGUAUGUCCAGCCUUCCUGGACCCAUUUGCUAUUAAGGACUCUUUUUCAGGGAGCUCUAUGAACCAGUGUUGGAACAGGUCGAAGUCUAAGGUAGAAGAUUUGUUACCCACUUCCUUACUUCAACCCAGUUGUUUCAUAUUCAUUGAAACAGUCCAUAUCUCCCACCAGCCCUUCUUUGUUUUCAAACAACAGGUCUGUCAGGGCACUGACCCUGACGACUUACUUAUGAAGAUAGGAAAUUAUCUUCUGCACACUCAGGAAUCUCCUAGACUGACCUCUCUCAGCUGUGUUGAGUUUCCAGCAGACAUCCAGUAAGGUAAAGUCUCCAACAAGAGUAAGGGUUAGCACUCUUGGAACCUCAGUCAGCCGCUCAUGGAAUACUUCAUCUGCCUCUUCAUUCUCGUAGUGUACUCUGUAACAGACUCCCACCAGUAUAUCUGCCUUGCUAGCCUUCCCCCUGAGUCUUACCCAUAGCCACUCAGCCUUGUCAUCACUGUCCUUCAGCUCUGUGCAGUGAAACACUCCCUAAUGUACAAAGCCACUCCACUGCCUCUUCUUCCCCACCCGUCCCUUCUGAAGAACCAUUAUAACUCUCGUGACAGCACUCCAGCCAUGUGAGUCAUCCCACCACCUUUCGGUGAUGGUGACAGUCACAGCUUUCCUGCUGCCAAUGGCUUCCUCCUGUUUAUUGCUUUGUUACCCAUACUGUGUGCACUGUGUGGAUGCUCUUCAGCUGGACUACUGAUUUCACUCCCAGUGCUAACAUGCCCACUCUAGGCUCAUCUCUGCUGAGGCUAGUUUUAUCAUAGUCCCCCUUAAACCUGGUUUAAAACCCUCUCAAUCAGCCCUGCCAACUCAUGGGCUAGAAUUCCUUUUCCCUCGUUUGGACAGGCAAACCCUAUCUCUUUCCAGCAGGCACCAUAUAAAACACCCCAUGAGCAAAAAAGCCAGAAUUCCAACAGUGGCACCAGUCUUUAAGUCACAUGUUGAUCAGGUGGCUGUUCCUUUUGGCAUUCUUCCCUGCUACUGAAAUAAUUGAGGAAAACAAUAUCUAUGCUCCUGUCCUUACAACCAAUUAUCCCAGUGCCCUGAAGUCCUUUUUGAUUGUUGUAGGACUUCUCUCCUCAGUGUCAUUACUGCCAACCUGGGCAACAACAGUGGAUAAUAAAUCAGCAUGCUGACUCAGUUCAGGGAAUCUUCUAGUAACAUCUCUCACCCAGGCUCCAGAGAGGCAGCAGAUUUCCCUGAAAUAGGUGCUUUUGGCCAUGGGAGCCUCAGUUUCCCUCAGAAGGAAUUCACCUAGAAAACACCAGCAAUUUUCCUUUUAUAUGUCUAAGGGGAGACACCAUUUAAAAUGUCAAAAAAAAAAAGUAAAAAAAAAAAGAAAAGUUAAAAGAAAAAUAAAAACCCAGUAUUUCUUUGGUUUUCUAGUGACUCAGCAAAAGCAAAAUCUGGGCCUGUGUUGUUAGGAAGAAGUACAUUUUAAAUUCUUUUAAACUGCAGCUUCUCACUGCAACAUCUUGGUUGAUGCAGGUUAAUGGCUGACUGCUAAAAAGAGAACUUCUUAGUUUCAGUUGUCUAAUGGGAUUUUUGGCAAGCUGCUUGUUAGAAGGAUUAUUUUCUUUAACAAUAUUGCUGUAGGAAUGCAUCUUCUAAAUAGCCUGCUACAUUAUUUUGACAUGACCUUCAUAUCUUUUGAACUUACAUUUUCUGGAAUUCUUUUUCUCCCAUUAAGAAGCAAUGUUGUUGGGUGUGUUUUUUCUAAUAAAUCUGGAUGGAUGAUCAGGAAAAAAAACCUGGUGUGUCCAAUGGCUUGAUAAUUUCAGGGUCAAAACAGAUUUUAUGUGUUGGUCUUCUUUCGCUUGCUGAUGCAUCUAUUUAACCAAGCAGAUGGUGCAUAAGAUCUAGCUGGCAGCACACAGAACGCAUUAGGAGAACAAAGGGAAUGUGAGAUUAAACCAAAAAGAGGCAAGAACAGAGUUUCCUCACUGUUCUGCAUGAAGGUAGGAGCUGCUCCGAGAGGAUGCAAACUCAAUUUUCUUAUUGGACUUCUGGCCUCUUCCCUCCAUCAGAUUAUUCAAAGGUAAAUUUGCUUUUCACUCUCUCAGAAAGACCAUUUUCCCCUCACUGGUAUGUUUAUUUAUUAGUAACAUUAUUUGUAAAAUGCUAACUUCAUUGGCUGCACUGUUACGAUGUUAUCUCUGUGUGCUUCUGUGAGAAUAUAACAAUGUCAUGAAGAAAAAUGAUGUAAAAAUGAUGCGGGUACAUAAAAUGGGAUUGACAAAAUGUAAUAAAUCACUGCUGGGCUGAGGAACAGACCUGCAUGUGUAAUGAAAUACUUCAGCAUUACAUCAUCGUUUAUGUAACAUCUGGCAGAGCCUUGUAUUUCAGUGCUGCUUUGAAUUGGGAUCAUUUUUUCCUCUCAGAUAAAAGAGAAAAACAAGCCUCUAGGUUUUGCACAUAGAAAACUGUAAAGAAAAAAAAAAUAAGAAAAAAAAUAACCCUUAAAAUACCCCAGAGAAAUUUCCCUCUGAGAAGUUCUGUCAUCUCCAACUGGAUGCAAAUAAUAUAAUGACUGAGCUGCAUACAAAAUAGUUAGCAUCCUAGAAGAUGUUUUCAAUUUUAUAAGAGAAACAUAUUUUAAUAUGAAGGGGGGUUUUUUGAGAUUAUUUCAUCCAAGAAUUUUUAUAAUUGACAUCAUUAUACAUGCCUUGGAACCAGACUUUUAACAAAAAAAAAAUGCAGGUGUGCAUUCUAUGUACUUUAGUGUUUUCCACUUCAUGUUUUUUUUCAAAUGAGAAUGAAAUUAUCUUUAUUGUGGACUCCUAGUCUUGUCUGAUGCAAACAUAUGGGUACUACUUCAGUGUGGAUUCCUCCAUCCCAGGCUGCCAUCAGAGUCUUCCUUAUCCCAGGAACUCUGCCCUGUUCACCUGUGGUGCCAGCCAGGACAACAUGAUGAGCUGGUGGGGUGAGGAUUAGUUGAAAUGUGUUUAAUUGGCUGUUGAAACAGAUGAAAUCAGAAAUGUGAAUGUCUGCUGCAGAAGUAUCUGGAUAGCACACUCACCUGUCUGAAAUCAGUAGAAAUCUUGCCAUUAAUUUCUAGGGUUCUUGGCUGUUGCCUUGUGCCUCUUGCUUCUGAAGCCUUUGGGAGGUCCUGGUGUGGUGGUGGUGGUGUGAAGGUGCUGCCAGGGAUCCAGGCUGCCAGCCCUCUCAGCAGAUAACUCUCCUUCCCCAAACUUUUGCAGGUGACUUUGGGGAAAAAAACAACAAACCAAAUCACUAUCAGGGCUGAAAACUGGCCAUGUGGAGGGCUAGCUACAAUGACUCUUUUUUGCAGCUGAGGCAACAGCCGGAUGGUCUAGGAUGGAAACUGUUCUUUCCAGUACCUGAAGAUUUUGGAUAAACAUGUUUUUUCCCUUAUAUAAGUGUCAUGGCAAUGUACCAAUGACCUAUGGAUUUCCAAGGGCAAGGAGAAGCAUUUUUACGUCCCACAGGCAUGACAAUGACAUUUUUGAUCCUGGACAUUGCAAGAGUGGAAGCAGACAGUCAGGUUACUGAGCAGGGGUUGUGUGAGGUUAGAGAACAAGUACUGGUGAAAGCUAAGACCAUCUUGAAGUGAAAACUGAGGUGUUCUUAUGCUAUCUCAACCUACUCCCUCUCCUAUAAUGAAAAAUAAAUGACCUUUGCAGUGAGGUGGUAUCUUCCCACAGGGCUUUCUGUGAGACACCAGGUGAGACUUCCAGUGAGUUUAGCAGCUCCUUCACAUUUGUGGUUUGUACCCUCAUGCUGUAUAACUGCCACAGUUUAAACAGGUUAAUAGAAGACAAAAUUAUCUAAUGCUAGUAAGGUUGUCUCAGUUCCCUGGGAAGGAUGAGCUGACAAUACAAGAAUAUCUGUAAGCAUCAUUGAGAACUGGCUUUCAAGGAAAAAGUCCUUUGCUAAAUAUUGUCUAAAUGGAAGGUGGUUUUUUAAAUCUCUGGUUGCUUCAAUUUUGGCAACCUUUUCUGUGAAGAAACCUCAGACCUUUCCUGGCCUGAGAAGUCCAAGGAAAGGCAGGUAGGCAGCUUGCUUUCCCUUCUGUACAUUCCUCUGGUGGUUUGAUCAACAGGAACUUUGGUUCUUAGCUUCAUCCUUGUCCUCAGUGGGUCAGAGCCCCAGUAUUGAGGUGUGACUCCAGGUCUAAGACUGAGCAGUAUGUUACUAAAAAAGAAUGAAGAGACUCUCUCUUUUGCUGUUCUUUACUUUGCCCAUGGCAAGGGCAGGAGCUGGUGAGGAGCUGUUGCUAUAAGAGUAAUUGCAUUCCUCAAAAGUCAGUGUUGGAUCUGCCUCUUGCACAGGGAUCGCCUUACCCACCUAAACAGUAUGUGGGCAUUAGCCUACAUGAUCAAAGACCAUGUCUAAUUCAGUGUAUGGAAAAGAUUUUGGGCAGUCCACUACUGUGCUGAGCAGGACAAAGGAUUUUACUCUGUAAUGUACACAUUACCAGUAAUGUGUUCAGGAUUUAGUCAAGCACUACUGCAGGUACUAAUACAUGCCACUGGGACAAGAAAAUGAGAAUACCCAGUCUGUCAAGAAAAUAAGAGCAAUUCUGGAGAAGUGAAAACAGUCACUCAGUGGGGAAGAGGACUGAGUGGGUCAGCCAGAAGCACCAGAGUUGGUUCACUACUGCUGGUGACUGAGGCAUCCCACUCCCCACAGUCCCUAAUGUCCUGUGACUUCACAGCGGGGGAAGAUACCCUUGUGAUUUCACUCUGUAAAUGAGGAGAUAAAGCAUGGAUUUUCCCAUUUCUAUCAGCCUCUGUCUGUAAUAACUUUGCUGCCAUGCUA